rnacentral:lncRNA from 1 species
AUGCCAAGUCCAAAGGAAUAACUGAGUAAAGAGGUCGCUCUCGCUGUUUCCAUAGCAAUCCAUUAUGACUGUGCUCUCGACGUAAGCGCUAUCCCUAAGAUGGAAAGGUGAGAGAAGAUGAUGAGGGGUUAACAGAUUUUCUACUUGGAUCAUUGCAUCUCUCAUUUAAAACCAGAUACUAGGCACUAUUCUAAUUCCAGAGACCCAGCAAUGGCCCGAAUGAAGAGAAGGUAGAGAGCUGAAAAAUAUCUUCAAAUUGGAAUUAACCUGGGUUCAUUCCAAAAGCACUGCUACACAGGAUAACAGAGGAUUGCCAGAGGCAACGAGCAGUCAAGUGAAGAGACAAGAGACGAUGCACACCUCAUCUCAAGUCAUGGUUGACAGUGAAGAAAUAUUUCUGGUUCUAUAUAAUCAUUUUGCCAUGUUUUAAAAAAACGUCUGUAAGAAAAUUUUCCCAAUGGCUCAGUGGGACCACUUUCAAGGUUUACUGCACUCCUGAGGCACAUUCUCAGAAAGGGACAAGGAGAAAUUUAACUAUAUUU